GUAGUACUCCUUCCGUCCGAAAAUACUUGUCAUCAAAGUGGACAAAAAUAAUGUAUCUAGAACUAAAAUACAUCUAGAUAAAUCAUUUUUUAUUUAUUGUGAUGACAAGUAUUUUCGGACGGAGGGAGUACAUA
rfam:Triticum aestivum genome assembly, contig: Triticum_aestivum_CS42_TGACv1_scaffold_132470_2BL